rnacentral:rRNA from 1 species
UACGUAGGGUGCAAGCGUUGUCCGGAAUUAUUGGGCGUAAAGAGCUCGUAGGCGGUUUGUCGCGUCUGCCGUGAAAGUCCGGGGCUCAACUCCGGAUCUGCGGUGGGUACGGGCAGACUAGAGUGAUGUAGGGGAGACUGGAAUUCCUGGUGUAGCGGUGAAAUGCGUAGAUAUCGGAAGGAACACCGGUGGCGAAAGCGGCGCGCUGGACACCUACUGACGCUGAGGCGCGAAAGCCAGGGGAGCAAACGGG